rnacentral:tRNA from 1 species
GGGGAUGUAGCUCAGCUGGAAGAGCAGCGGUCUCCAAAACCGCCGGUCGCAGGUUCGAACCCUGCCAUCUCUGCCA